rnacentral:lncRNA from 1 species
CUCUGCAAACUAGGGAGGCGGAAUCGAACUCCCAAUCUUUGGCUCUGCAAACUAUAUCCCUAAACCCCUGAGCUAUCCAGCAGUUCUAGGUUCUUGAUCAUCUUAGAACUGCAGAGCUGGAAGGAACCCUGGAAGAAUCGUGGAGCCCAGCCGGUCAAAGAGGCACACACUGGGGAAUUGAACUCGCAGCCUUGGCUUGACCACUGAGCUGCCCAGCUUCUGAGGUUCUUGCUCCUGAGUAAGCCUGCAGAGACCCUCGGGAAAGAGGAAGGCUAAGGCUCCUCGGUAGAACUUUCCCUCUGUGUAGGAGAAUCCAGUCGGAAACACCGAGGUUCCCUUCCAAGUAUGUCAACGGGCUGCCUCCCCAUUGGAACACGAGUAGGGACUGGAUCCAUGGUGCCUUCCCAGAUGGAGGAAAGGUGCUAGCAAUGAGAGGGGGCUUUGUGGGUGGGCGGAUCAGGGCCGGGGCAGGUGCGGUGGGUUUGCGGGAACAGUCUCAUCAAGGAGAGGCACGUCUGGAGGGAUUUAAAGACUAGCAUGAACGGGGAUAAGAGGAACGUCGUGCUGGCUGGGCAGGGGGAUGUUGCAGUAACUCGGACCCAGGGAUCGGGUGAACCUUGGAGAGGGGGGAGGCACUGCCUGGACGGGGUUACCGCCUGAAGGAAGAUGCAUGCCGGGCAGCAGGUUCUCCUCUGCUGGCUCCCCUUGCUUUGGGCUGGGGGGAACCCCUCUGUCAGGGGGAAGGAGGGCGAACUCUGCCGAGCCUGGAGGUACGGCGAAACAUCUCGGGCCGGUGGGGCGUUCCAGUGUCCGCAGCGUCACGACAGAGCGGAGGCCAAGUACUGUUGCGGGAAUUGCCGCCUCCCUUUCUGCUGCUCAAGGGGAGAGGCCCGCCUGGACUGGCGCCGGUGCCGCCGCGCCCUUCCCAACCCGGCUGGUGUCACCCACCCUCAGCGACCCACGCCCGUGGCGACAGACCAGCCCUUUGAGAGCUGGAUUACGCUUGUCUGUGUUGUAGUGUUACUACUUGGUGUAACCCUUUGCCUCAUUCUCAGCCAUUGCAAAGACAGGCAGCAGCGUCGGCAGAGAGCCCUCUGGCUUAGAGGCAUGCUCAACAACAGAAACUCGUUCAACUACGAAGACCUUUUCCCUCCGCCUCCUCCUCCUCCACCGGGACUGUCUUUCUUCCCUGACAGUCCUCCCCCCUAUGCUGAGGACCCACCACCCUAUAGCGUUGAGGAUCCUCAUGCGAACCGUCCUCCUUCGCCUCCGUUGCCGGUGGUGUAUUUCCAUUCUGCAAGCACUGAAAACGAGGAAGAUGAAGUAACCAUCGGGCCCCUGGUCCACCGAAAUGUUCCUAGCCAUUGCUCAGAGAUGGACUCGGUAAGGGAUACUUCGGUAGACCAGUGAUGGCCGGGAGGGUUGACCCACCUGGAAGACGUGUUAGGUGGCAUGUCUACCCUACAUAGUUAAUAGUAGUUUGAUGCCACUAAAUUGCUAUGCCUUCAUCCUGCUGAACCUUUGGGUUGGUAGUUUGAGAAAACACAAUGAAUUAUCUGCUGGAAUUUGGAGAAGCACAAGAGAACUCUUUAGCAAUGAAUUCUAGGUCCAGACUAUAAACCCCAAGGUUCUAUAGGAUGGAGCCAUCAGCAUUAAAGUGGGAUCAAACCGGUAUUAACAGUGUAGGGUUGAUGCAUUCCAGGAAUGGAGUCCCAUCCAAAAAGGCCAUAGCUGGAUGGUCAGAUGUAGAAGUCCGUCCACUGUAUUCGUUGAUGCUUUUAAGAGUGUGUGUUCAUGACAUGGACUACUUGACCAACAUUUUAAUGGUAUAUGGACAUUUUUAAUGAUUUGGAACAGCACGGAGAUGCUCCCAGGCCUCCCUCCACCUCCCCAUUGAUGAAAUUGUACAAGAAAGAGAGAUGGGACGUAUCCAUCCUGCUGUAUUUGAUCUUCUUUGGGAUUGGCUGGUCAACAGUUCAAUGAAACAGGGGGGGAAAUGCACCAGAAAGGUGAACUCUCCUCCUUUCUAUGGGAUACUUGAAGGGUUUUCUCAAAUGGAGAUCACAGGUUAUGUGUCUAAAACAGCCUGGGACUGAUUCGUGUCCAGGAUGAGAGCAUGGGGGGUGGGGGUGGGGGAGGAAGACUCUGAACAAGCUCCUUCCAGUCCAGAACACGCCCAAAGAAAUGUUUGUGAGAGGCAAGGAACUGUUUUUAGUGCAAGUGCUUUUUAAAUGCAUGUCAAUAAAUGUAUGAACCUACUUGUUAAUAAAAGCUGU